rnacentral:rRNA from 1 species
AGAAUCAACGCUGGCGGCGUGCCUAACACAUGCAAGUCGUACGAGAAAGGGGAGCAAUCCCUGAGUAAAGUGGCGACCGGGUGAGUAACACGUGACUAACCUACCCUCGAGUGGGGAAUAACUCCGGGAAACCGGAGCUAAUACCGCAUAACAUCGCAAGAUCAAAGCAGCAAUGCGCUUGAGGAGGGGGUCGCGGCUGAUUAGCUAGUUGGCGGGGUAACGGCCCACCAAGGCGAAGAUCGGUAUCCGGCCUGAGAGGGCGCACGGACACACUGGAACUGAAACACGGUCCAGACUCCUACGGGAGGCAGCAGUGGGAAUUUUGCGCAAUGGGGGAAACCCUGACGCAGCAACGCCGCGUGGAGGAUGAAGUCCCUUGGGACGUAAAACUCCUUUCGACCGGGACGAUAAAUGACGGUACCGGUGGAAGAAGCCCCGGCUAACUUCGCGCCAGCAGCCGC